AGAGCGAACGCUGGCGGCAUGCUUAACACAUGCAAGUCGCACGAGGUCUUCGGGCCUAGUGGCGGACGGGUGAGUAACGCGUAGGUAUCUGUCCAUGGGUGGGGGAUAACGGCGGGAAACUGCUGCUAAUACCGCAUGACACCUGAGGGUCAAAGGCGCAAGUCGCCUAUGGAGGAGCCUGCGUACGAUUAGCUUGUUGGUGGGGUAAUGGCCUACCAAGGCGACGAUCGUUAGCUGGUCUGAGAGGAUGAUCAGCCACAUUGGGACUGAGACACGGCCCAAACUCCUACGGGAGGCAGCAGUGGGGAAUAUUGGACAAUGGGCGAAAGCCUGAUCCAGCAAUGCCGCGUGUGUGAAGAGGUCUUAGGAUUGUAAAGCACUUUCGACGGGGACGAUGAUGGACGGUACCCGUAGAACGAACGCCCGGCUAACUUCGUGCCAGCAGCCGC
rnacentral:rRNA from 1 species